rnacentral:snoRNA from 1 species
GCGAAAGAUUAACCAUUUUUAACCCCGAUCACCAUGAAGAUCAAAAAAAAGCAACACAACUUUACUCUAAUUUUUUCAUGACG